rnacentral:rRNA from 1 species
UACAGAGGGUGCGAGCGUUAAUCGGAAUUACUGGGCGUAAAGCGCACGUAGGCGGCUUUGCAAGUCGGGUGUGAAAUCCCCGGGCUCAACCUGGGAACUGCAUUCGAGACUGCACUGCUGGAGUAUGGGAGAGGGAAGCGGAAUUUCCGGUGUAGCGGUGAAAUGCGUAGAUAUCGGAAGGAACAUCAGUGGCGAAAGCGGCUUCCUGGACCAAUACUGACGCACAUGUGCGAAAGCGUGGGGAGCAAACAGG